GACACGGUCCAGACUCCUACGGGAGGCAGCAGUGGGGAAUAUUGCACAAUGGGCGCAAGCCUGAUGCAGCCAUGCCGCGUGUGUGAAGAAGGCCUUCGGGUUGUAAAGCACUUUCAGCGAGGAGGAAGGGUACAGUGUUAAUAGCACUGUUCAUUGACGUUACUCGCAGAAGAAGCACCGGCUAACUCCGUGCCAGCAGCCGCGGUAAUACGGAGGGUGCAAGCGUUAAUCGGAAUUACUGGGCGUAAAGCGCACGCAGGCGGUUUGUUAAGUCAGAUGUGAAAUCCCCGCGCUUAACGUGGGAACUGCAUUUGAAACUGGCAAGCUAGAGUCUUGUAGAGGGGGGUAGAAUUCCAGGUGUAGCGGUGAAAUGCGUAGAGAUCUGGAGGAAUACCGGUGGCGAAGGCGGCCCC
rnacentral:rRNA from 1 species